GGUUGCCGAUAUGAACUCUCCACGCUGUCACUGGCCUUUGGGACGAGUCACCGAGGUUUUCCCAGAUAGAAAGGGUUUGUGCGCUCUGUGAUAGUCCGUACCACUACAUCUACCCUGAAGAGACCGAUCUCCAAGCUGGUGCUGGUGCUGGAGAGCGAGACCACCGACACUGAGAGCGUGUGAGACCACGAGCAUGGCCGACUAUCGCACGUGAUGACGUGAUUUGAUAUCAAUUCCAGAAGAUUAGUUUGUGUUGAUUGAUAGCUGUAUUUCCAGAAGACUGAACUGGGGAUUGACUGCAAGCGGUUGGUGAUGAAGGCUCCAAUUGCGCUUAGCACGUUUGGUCUGUUGAACCUGGAAGGUUCAAGGGUGGGGGUGUAGGCGCGCCAUUUCCAUUUUGUCAUUUUAUGUUCCUUAGUCCACGUUUACCAUCCUGCUGAUUUCCUAUUUUCUUCCUUGGUUUCGCAGCCAUGGCACAUUGCUCGCUCGGUCCCUCUGACCUGUCGAGGUCACCGGCCGACCGUAGCCUGGGGCAGGGCCCAGGAAUGUAGCUGCGCCGUCGCGACCGCAGGGUCAGAAAAGUAGUAACUGGAAACUGUGAUAUUUGACUCGUUAAUGUGUAUGUUAUGCCCAAUAAUGUGCUCAGGAUUGUAAAAUGUAUUGUUUGAUGCGAGUAGGGAUCUCCUGGACAUUUAAGUUGCGAAUAUGAUAGCUGACGCGGAUGAACAUUUCUGAAUAUGGGCGGUGCCCGGCGCCCCGGCGCUGGUCGGGGGCGCGGCGCGGGUCAGUUGAGCCCCGUUGAGGCUGGUGGUAUGUGGUGGUGUCUGCGCCAGAGCCGCCAUUUACCAAGACCGUGAGGCUGGUCGUCUGAUGUGCCUCUGGAGACGUGUGCCUCUGGUUUCGUUAGCCGAUAAGCGACUCAGGGAGCACAUUUGUCGCAACGAUUGCGUGCGGAGGGCCACACGGUCCAAUACACCGAUCCGUGACG